rnacentral:rRNA from 1 species
UACGGGGGGGCAAGCGUUGUUCGGAAUUACUGGGCGUAAAGGGCUCGUAGGCGGCCAACUAAGUCAGACGUGAAAUCCCUCGGCUUAACCGGGGAACUGCGUCUGAUACUGGAUGGCUUGAGUUCGGGAGAGGAUGCGGAAUUCCAGGUGUAGCGGUGAAAUGCGUAGAUAUCUGGAGGAACACCGGUGGCGAAGGCGGCAUCCUGGACCGACACUGACGCUGAAUAGCGAAAGCCAGGGGAGCAAACGGG